rnacentral:lncRNA from 1 species
GCCUACGUAUGACUAAUGCAAGCAUUAGUUAUAAAUUAUUAUGUAUCGAGGUGUGUAUUAAUAUUACACACUAUUUUCCAUGUAUUAAUAAUACAAAAACUCUAAACACAUACAUUAACUUGUUAAAUGACAAAUUUACCCCUCAUUUUCGACCAUUUUGUGCUCUGAUUAGCUGCUACCUCCAUUUUUUGCUCUGUUCUAUCGCUGCUGCUGAUUUGUAGUUGUGUUGCUGGUACCUCCAUGUAGAUCUUCGGCUCCCAUAUGAACCACGGGCAUGUUCAUAAAAUUGAUCGUAUGAACCCAUAAUAAGUCGUGCAAAAGAAAUAAAUGAGAUAAUGCUACGCAAUUCAACUAUAAAAGAGAUCCAAUUGAUUAUAAUCCCAAAAGCCAUGGGUGUGUUCUCAGAUUUUCCGACAGUAGCUGAUGCUAUUACUAUUCUUGAAAAAGAAG